AGAAGACACAAGUAGAGGAGAAGGAACAGAUUAUUACUGAAGAUUAUGAGAAACUUAAACUCAAAGUUGCUGAACUAUUGGAGGAGAAAGAGGAACAAUAUCUCAAGGAGAAACAGAUCAUUAUUGAUGACAAUCAAAAUCUCAUUUCUGAAAAAGACAAAGUUAUAGCCAAACUGACAUCGAAUGAGAAACAGAUCAUUACUGACCUUAAAGAAAAGGAGUUGUACAUAGCCAAACU